rnacentral:rRNA from 1 species
UACGUAGGGGGCAAGCGUUGUCCGGAAUCAUUGGGCGUAAAGAGCGUGUAGGCGGCCCGAUAAGUCCGCUGUGAAAGUCCAGGGCUCAACCCUGGGAUGCCGGUGGAUACUGUCGGGCUCGAGUCCGGAAGAGGAGUGUGGAAUUCCUGGUGUAGCGGUGAAAUGCGUAGAUAUCUGGAGGAACACCGGUGGCGAAGGCGGCAUCCUGGACCAUUACUGACACUGAAUAGCGAAAGCCAGGGGAGCAAACGGG